rnacentral:rRNA from 1 species
AUUGAACGCUGGCGGCAGGCCUUACACAUGCAAGUCGAGCGGAUGCAGGGAGCUUGCUCCUGGAUUCAGCGGCGGACGGGUGAGUAAUGCCUAGGAAUCUGCCUGGUAGUGGGGGAUAACGUCCGGAAACGGGCGCUAAUACCGCAUACGUCCUGAGGGAGAAAGUGGGGGACCUUCGGACCUCACGCUAUCAGAUGAGCCUAGGUCGGAUUAGCUAGUUGGUGGGGUAAAGGCCUACCAAGGCGACGAUCCGUAACUGGUCUGAGAGGAUGAUCAGUCACACUGGGACUGAGACACGGUCCAGACUCCUACGGGAGGCAGCAGUGGGGAAUAUUGGACAAUGGGCGCAAGCCUGAUCCAGCCAUGCCGCGUGUGUGAAGAAGGUCUUCGGAUUGUAAAGCACUUUAAGUUGGGAGGAAAGGCAGUAAGUUAAUACCUUGCUGUUUUGACGUUACCGACAGAAUAAGCACCGGCUAACUACGUG